UAAUAACACCUCCAUCACUGUGUUCUUUCAGAGCGCCUGCAUGCGUUUUCGUGAUGAUGUUGAGAAAUGAAAGGGGAAGAAACCCUCGCUCUGAGCUUCCCUGAGGUCUGCUGUGUUUCUGCUCAUGUUCAGAGGGAAAAAAGCGGCCUGCUUCCACAAGGGAGGAGAGCAGGGAUCCUAGUGUUCUGGGAGUGGAUUGGCUGGCAUUCAUGCUGGAACAUCAGCAGUGUGUCACGCUUUAACACCGGCCUGUCACAAACUCUCCGGAUGCACGGAGCCAAGUAGUGCAAGUUCUGGGACAGUUUCCCUGCCAAAACUGCGGUGUGUUGCAGGUGAGAGUCACAGAAUGAGCACAGCCGUCCACCCACACCACAUAAACAAAGAGAAUCACGACACGCUCGCUUCUGCUUGUCGUCUUCCAGUCUCUUGAGGACACCUGUAGUGCAGACUUGGC
rnacentral:lncRNA from 1 species